rnacentral:rRNA from 1 species
AUUGAACGCUGGCGGCAGGCCUAACACAUGCAAGUCGAACGGUAACAGGAAGAAGCUUGCUUCUUUGCUGACGAGUGGCGGACGGGUGAGUAAUGUCUGGGAAACUGCCUGAUGGAGGGGGAUAACUACUGGAAACGGUAGCUAAUACCGCGUAAACGUCGCAAGACCAAAAAAGGGGGACCUUCGGGCCUCUUGCCAUCGGAUGUGCCCAGAUGGGAUUAGCUAGUAGGUGGGUAACGGCUCACCUAGGCGACGAUCCCUAGCUGGUCUGAGAGGAUGACCAGCCACACUGGAACUGAGACACGGUCCAGACUCCUACGGGAGGCAGCAGUGGGGAAUAUUGCACAAUGGGCGCAAGCCUGAUGCAGCCAUGCCGCGUGUAUGAAGAAGGCCUUCGGUG